AUUGAACGCUGGCGGCAUGCCUUACACAUGCAAGUCGAACGGCAGCGCGGGGCAACCUGGCGGCGAGUGGCGAACGGGUGAGUAAUAUAUCGGAACGUACCCUGGAGUGGGGGAUAACGUUGCGAAAGUUACGCUAAUACCGCAUACGAUCUAAGGAUGAAAGUGGGGGAUCGCAAGACCUCAUGCUCCUGGAGCGGCCG
rnacentral:rRNA from 1 species